rnacentral:rRNA from 1 species
GAUGAACGCUAGCGGCAGGCCUAACACAUGCAAGUCGAGGGGGAAGCCCUUUCGGGGGCAGAAACCGGCGCACGGGUGCGUAACGCGUAUGCAACCUACCUUUCACAGGGGGAUAGCCCGAAGAAAUUUGGAUUAAUACCCCAUAAUAUUAUUGGAUGGCAUCAUUUGAUAAUUAAAACUGCGGUGGUGAAAGAUGGGCAUGCGUCCUAUUAGCUAGUUGGAGUGGUAACGGCACCCCAAGGCUACGAUAGGUAGGGGUCCUGAGAGGGAGAUCCCCCACACUGGUACUGAGACAGGGACCAGACUCCUACGGGAGGCAGCAGUGAGGAAUAUUGGUCAAUGGUCGGAAGACUGAACCAGCCAUGCCGCGUGCAGGAAGAAUGCCUUAUGGGUUGUAAACUGCUUUUAUAUGGGAAGAAUAAGGCGUACGUGUACGUUGAUGACGGUACCAUAUGAAUAAGCAUCGGCUAACUCCGUG